GUAAACAUGAAGGUCUAGAAACGAGGCAGCUGUAAACAUGAAGGUCUAGAAACGAGGCAGCUGUAAACAUGAAGGUCUAGAAACGAGGCAGCUGUAAACAUGAAGGUCUAGAAACGAGGCAGCUGUAAACAUGAAGGUCUAGAAACGAGGCAGCUGUAAACAUGAAGGUCUAGAAACGAGGCAGCUGUAAACAUGAAGGUCUAGAAACGAGGCAGCUGUAAACAUGAAGGUCUAGAAACGAGGCAGCUGUAAACAUGAAGGUCUAGAAACGAGGCAGCUGUAAACAUGAAGGUCUAGAAACGAGGCAGCUGUAAACAUGAAGGUCUAGAAACGAGGCAGCUGUAAACAUGAAGGUCUAGAAACGAGGCAGCUGUAAACAUGAAGGUCUAGAAACGAGGCAGCUGUAAACAUGAAGGUCUAGAAACGAGGCAGCUGUAAACAUGAAGGUCUAGAAACGAGGCAGCUGUAAACAUGAAGGUCUAGAAACGAGGCAGCUGUAAACAUGAAGGUCUAGAAACGAGGCAGCUGUAAACAUGAAGGUCUAGAAACGAGGCAGCUGUAAACAUGAAGGUCUAGAAACGAGGCAGCUGUAAACAUGAAGGUCUAGAAACGAGGCAGCUGUAAACAUGAAGGUCUAGAAACGAGGCAGCUGUAAACAUGAAGGUCUAGAAACGAGGCAGCUGUAAACAUGAAGGUCUAGAAACGAGGCAGCUGUAAACAUGAAGGUCUAGAAACGAGGCAGCUGUAAACAUGAAGGUCUAGAAACGAGGCAGCUGUAAACAUGAAGGUCUAGAAACGAGGCAGCUGUAAACAUGAAGGUCUAGAAACGAGGCAGCUGUAAACAUGAAGGUCUAGAAACGAGGCAGCUGUAAACAUGAAGGUCUAGAAACGAGGCAGCUGUAAACAUGAAGGUCUAGAAACGAGGCAGCUGUAAACAUGAAGGUCUAGAAACGAGGCAGCUGUAAACAUGAAGGUCUAGAAACGAGGCAGCUGUAAACAUGAAGGUCUAGAAACGAGGCAGCUGUAAACAUGAAGGUCUAGAAACGAGGCAGCUGUAAACAUGAAGGUCUAGAAA